rnacentral:lncRNA from 1 species
AAAAUUGUGGGGGAACAUCUUGAGUAGGUUUAGAGAUGGAAUGGGAAGCCUGGCAGAAGCGCUGGUCCGGUCUUCAGGGUCACGGCUGAUACAGGAGUUUAAGCGGCCGUGUGACUCCAAAGCCUAGCUUCUGCAAGCAGAUGUUUUCUUCUAGCCAUGUGUGAAUUGGAGGUUCCUUGGGCUGUCCACGCCUGGUCAUCGGCUGGCAGGAGGCUCUCCAGGCACACGCAGCACACACAGCACAUGCACCACACGUAGCACACACACUGCAUGCAGCACACACACACGACACAGUGGACGCACCACACAGAGCACACGCGGCACGCACAGCACACACCACACAGCGCACGCACCACACAGAGCACACACGGCACACAGCGCAUGCACCACGCAGAGCACACACGGCACAUGCAGCACACACACCAAACACAGCGCACGCACCGCACAGAGCACAUGCAGCACACACGGCACAUGCAGCACACACACCAAACACAGCACAUGCACUGCACAGAGCACACGCAGCACACACAGCACACGCACCACGCAGAGCACACACAGCACAUGCAGCACACACACCAAACACAGCGCACGCACCGCACAGAGCACACGUGGCACACGCAGCACACACACCAAACACAGCGCACGCACCGCACAGCACACGUGGCACACACAGCACACACACCAAACAGCGCACACACCACACAGAGCACACGCAGCACACACACCACACAGAGCACUUGGAGCACCCGCAGCACACACACCACGCAGAGCACACGCGGCACACACACCACACAUAGCGCAUGCACAACACAGAGCACACACAGCACAUGCACCACAUGUAGCGCACACUGCAUGCAGCACACACACCACACACAGCGCGUGCACCACACAGAGCACCUGCGGCACACACAGCACACACACCGCACGCACCACAGAGAGCACACGUGGCACACACACUGCACACAGUGCACGCACCACACAGCACACGCGGCACACGCAGCACACACAGCGCAUGCACCACACAGAGCAGACGCGGCGCACACAGCACACGUGGCAUAUGGCCUCCAUGACCCUGUGUCUUGAGGGCAGGUCCUACUUUUUGCUUUGUUGUGUUGGAGCAGAAUUUCUCC